rnacentral:rRNA from 1 species
GAUGAACGCUGGCGGCGUGCUUAACACAUGCAAGUCGAACGGAAAGGCCCAAGCUUGCUUGGGUACUCGAGUGGCGAACGGGUGAGUAACACGUGGGUGAUCUGCCCUGCACUUCGGGAUAAGCCUGGGAAACUGGGUCUAAUACCGGAUAGGACCACAUUUUGGAUGGUGUGGUGGAAAGUUUUUCGGUGUGGGAUGAGCUCGCGGCCUAUCAGCUUGUUGGUGGGGUAAUGGCCUACCAAGGCGUCGACGGGUAGCCGGCCUGAGAGGGUGGACGGCCACAUUGGGACUGAGAUACGGCCCAGACUCCUACGGGAGGCAGCAGUGGGGAAUAUUGCACAAUGGGCGCAAGCCUGAUGCAGCGACGCAGCGUGGGGGAUGACGGCCUUCGGGUUGUAAACUCCUGUCGCUAGGGACGAAGCGUUUUUGUGACGGUACCUGGAGAAGAAGCACCGGCUAACUACGUG